CAAAGGGUGAAGCCUGCCCGGAGGGGGCGGGGAAAAGGGGGGGUGCUAAAAGAUGGUCGUGUUUGAUGUUAAUGCGAGUGCGGUGCAGAGAGGGAGGCAAUUGUGACCGCAAGCUGAUUUUGGGGGCUGGGAUUAUGACAAGGAAAAAUGGAGCUUCCUUUUUGCUGUUCACCCAUCCAAGGAUCCAGUGGCUCAAGUUUCAUGGAGUGUGACCAAAUAUCUCUUUGAAAGCUGAUCAGCACUGGACCAGAAACCACUGCAGAAAAUCUGUCAGGAUCUCCUGAAGUCCAGUCCCCAUUGUGAAGGCAGAGAGCCCUUAUCUCUCACUGGGGCUGCUUUGGGAGCCUGCUUUCCCAGCAGCUGGAGACGGAGCAGAUGAAGCAUUGCAUUAAGGCCAGAAUUAUCUGUCCCUUGAGAGAGGAGGAGCACUCUGUGCUCCUGGAAGGACAGCUCCUACACCUGCCCCUCAUUACUGUAGGACUCGAUCGUUCAUAACGAGGUUGGUUGCUGUUUUAUUGAGAUACUGUCAAGGGCUGAUAGAGAAAGGCUUUGGGGUCAGCUACUGUGGUCCUGCCUGAAGGGUGAGGUCUCUCCUGGUGUCAAUCUUUGGAUGUGAGGCGGGUCCACAGUUAGAAAAGAGGCACUGAGAGGAAACUUGGCCUGUCACGAUCCAGAUUUCCAGGAGUCCAGAUGUCUCAGGGUAUACCCCAGUGGUGGGAGGUUAAGGAUGUCAUCUCUCCAUGCGCCCGACCCCAGGACUGUCCUGGCCCAGAGCAAGAGAAGCCCCUGCUCAGUACUUCCUCAGGCUGCAUCCCUUCCCGUGGUGGAAGGAGUCUAUACACCCACCCUUUAUGUGUUGAAUUGAGUUCCCUCAAAGAUAUGUUGAAAUCCUAACCCUCAGUACCUCAGACUGUGACCUUACUUGGAAAUAGGGUCAUUGUAGAUGUAGUUAGUUCCCAUGAGACACAGACACCUGGGAGGAGAUGGAGCAGAGAUCAGAGGGAUGCAGCUACAAGCCGAGGAGCGCCAAGGAUUCCUGCAAACCCCCAGCAACUAGGAAGAGGCCAGAAGGAUUCUCCCUUACACAUUUCAGAGGGGAUGUGGUCCUGCUGAUACCUUGAUUUUGGACUUCUAGCCUCAGAACUGAGAGACAAUAAAUUUCUGUUGUUUUAAGCCACGCAGUUCGUGGUACUUUGUUACAGCAGCCCUGGGAGACUAAUACACACUCCCGGACUAGACUCUGGGUACCAGGAUUCCUGCCCAACUGGCACCAGGGCUUCUAUUUGUCCUCUUGCCUAGGGCCCCACAAAUGUAGUGGGGCCUGAGAUUUGGAGGUGGGGAACUCGGGAGUCCUAGUCUUGGGGUCCCUGGUGCAGAGGGAGGAGGGCUGUGAUCUGCAGGGAAUGAGCUACACUGGUGAGCUAGAGUUCUAACUCAGGGUGCCCUCUGAGUCUUUCCCUUUUGUUAUUCUUCAGCUUCUAGGACAGCCUUGUUGGAGAGUCCCGGCUGAUUUUACCAUUCACAGCAUAGCAGGGAUAAAUGACCAUCGUUGAAAAGGGAGCAGUGCCACCCUGAGUCCAGGGUGGGAAUGGCAGCAGGAAGCGUUGAGUGACCCCGCCCCACCAACCCCCACCAGGGGGCCUGCCUCUCAGAGCCUGAAGUACCAGAUAGGCUCCCUCCCCGAUUCCACAGCCACAGCUACAGUAGAGGUUUUACUUUUUUUCUUACCCAAAAUAGCAUUUUUCUCCAAGAAGCUCCCCAGGGAAUUCUCAGCUAUUUAAAAAUGGUGAAAAAUCAAUCCUCAGAGCUCCCAAGGAAUGCAGCCCCCAGCUUCCCAAUGGUCCCUGUGUAACCCCUGCUUCUCCCCAUCCCCAGAACCGCCUCCCUCACCCCAAAUCCAAGUGCCCUUGUAACUUUGAGAUGAAGCCAUGAGUAGCUUAGAGGAGCUGUCCUGGGGCAGCCUCUUGAGCAGCACUCCAUGCCCGCAGAGGGGGUUAAAUAGGUCUGUUUUCCUUUGCACUGAACUUCAUUUUGAAUUGUACCAAUUAUAAAUUAAACUGAAUGAACAGUGUGACAAAAUGCCAAUGCUUGUUUGCUAUCUUUCCGGGCAUUGCCCUCACAUCAACCCUGAUGGGUAGAGAUUGUUAUCGUCCUCAUUGUACAGACAAGGAAGUUGAGGCCCAGGGAGAUUAAUGACUUGCUGAAGGUAACGCAGUGAUAAGGAGCAUUGUUGAAUCUGUCUCUGUUGAAUCUCUUUCUGUUGCGCUGUUCUAUCUCCUGGAAGCAUCUCUGAAGGGAUUAAACUUUCAAAUCCCUGCCCUGAUCCCUGCCCUGGGACAGCAUGCUCUUUUUUUCUGCUACUUCUUAAAAUGUAUUCUAUUACAUUAUUCAAGUUG